UCAUUUUAAAUUACUCAUAUUUUAUAUUUAUUGUUAAUUGUAAUUUAUAUUAUAAUUAUAUAUUCAUGUAUACAAUAUUAAUCUUAUAAUAUAUGGUUUGUUAUCAUAAGUUACUGUCAUUUUCUUUUCUUUUAUAAAAUUUGAUUUAAUUUGGCAAAUCAUACAACCACAAGACAAUAAGUAGUUAUAGGGAUAUUUUAAUGGUUUAAUCACUAAUAAGCUUAAUAUCGGUAGAGGUAGGUCUACUAUCUAUAACUUUUAUAGUUGCUUACUAUGUAAUAAAAUAAAAACAAUUCAAUUGCGAUUCUAGUGUAGUAGUGUGAGAGUGUUAACUUAAAAUAAGUAUUUCAUGGCUAUUAUAGUUUUUUGUUUUAUAUAACUGGUGGGUCCAUAAUAUAAUUACAAAGUACAAACACCGUUAAAUUUCAACAACUUGUAAAAUAAAUACAUAAAAUAUGUAAAAUUAAUAACGAAAACGUAUUUGUUUUUAUCACGUUUUUGUAAUAAUUAAUCGAAUAUUACAAUUUCGGUAAAUUUAUUUAAUAAUUUAAUUUAUAUAGUUCUAUACAAUGCAAAUAAAAGAAAAUGGAUAUCCAAAAGCAGUCUGGUAUAUAUUCGGAAACGAACUUUGUGAACGGUUUAGUUAUCAUGGUCUUAAAACUAUUUUGGUUUUAUUUUUUACAACAAUUCAAAAAUAUGACCACGAUACUUCCACGAUUAUAUUUCAUAUGUUUUUGAUCUGUUCAUUCAUAUCGCCAUUGUUUGGAGCCAUCAUUGCAGAUUCAUACUGGGGAAAAUAUAAGACUAUUUUCAUCUUGUCUAUUGUACAUGCAAUGGGAAAUAUCUUAGUGGCUAUUGCAUCUCUUGUGACUUCAGUCAGUAUAGAUUUUCAGAGAUCAUUUACAAUAAUUGGAUUAUUGUUAACAUCGAUCGGAGCAGGUGGUAUAAAACCGUGCGUCUCUGCUUUUGGAGGUGAUCAAUUUGUGCUGCCAGAUCAAGAACAUCAGUUGCAAAUGUUUUUUUCGAUAUUUUACUUUACUAUCAAUUUAGGGUCAUUGUUAUCGUCGUCCAUUACACCGGAACUGAGGAAAUCGGUUCAAUGUUUUGGCAAGGAUUCAUGUUUUCCAUUAGCAUUUGGGGUGCCUGCUAUUCUUAUGGUGAUUUCAAUGGUAUUCUUUAUAUGUGGCAAAAAUCUGUACAAGAUCAUUAAACCUAAGUCCAGUAUCAUUACAACUUCAAUUGGAUGCAUAUGUCACGCAUUGAAAAAAAAAAUAACCACUUCUUCAAAUGAAGGGAAAAGGAAAUAUUGGUUGGAAUAUGCUGAUGAUAAGUACAGUACACAACAAAUAUCUGAGUUGAGGUCAGCAUUAGCCGUUAUGUAUUUGUUUAUUCCAGUCCCAAUGUUUUAUGCACUUUUUGAUCAACAAGGUUCUCGAUGGAUUUUACAAGGAACUCUAAUGAAUGGCAAGAUAGAUUUUUUAAAUUGGUCUAUAAAGCCUGACCAAAUGCAUUUAAUUAACCCCUUGUUCGUUUUAAUAUUUAUACCACUUUUUAAUGCCAUAGUCUAUCCACUUUUGCAUAAAAUUGGUAUAAAUACACCUUUAAAAAAAGUCACUCUAGGGGGCCUUAUUGCUGCAUCGUCGUUUGUGUGUGCUGCAGUUGUUCAAUACACAAUAAUUGGUCAAACUUUUACAAUAUCAUCAAAUGAAGGCCAAUUAAGAAUAUACAAUAAUUUUGAUUGUAAUGUAUCCGUAUCCAGUUCUUUGGUUGGAAACUUCAAUAUUGAACAGUUAGAUGUAGUUCAUAUUAACUAUAAUUCAACUGUAUUUAAUGAGACUGAUGUUUUAUCUAUAGACUUGCAUCCAAUGUGUGAAUUAAAAAUGAAUACUCUGAAACAACAUGUUUUCAUCAAUAAAGGAAAGGUUUCAUCAUAUUUUUUAACAUCUAAAAUUGAUAAUGAAAUUGAAUUAAAACAAUUGAACGAAUUGAAGAAAUUAAAGAGUGGAAAUUCAAAUCUUAGGAUUUUGCAUGAUAAUUUCUUCAGUCAAAGGAUUACAUUAAAGAAUACUAAUAAUAAAUUAUCUGAAAUAAGCUUUUCACUUUCAACAAAUCAAGAUCAAAGUUACGAAUUACCUGUCGGGACUUACGACUUAUACAUGGACAAUGAACCGAUAUUGCAAAAUGUUGAUUUUCUUCCUGUUAGUAUUAAUGAUCUGUUAUUUCACCAUGAUUUUAAUCAAACGAAAGCCAAGUUAAUUACUUUGGAAAAGGGUAAAUAUAUUCAUAUUCUAUGGCAAGCUCCGCAAAUCAUUUUAAUUACAGUAGCUGAAGUAAUGUUUGUGGUUACAUUAUUGGAAUUCUCAUUCACUCAAGCUCCAUUAAGUAUGAAAUCAUUUCUUACAGCAGCCAAUUUAUGUACAACGGCAUUUGGUAAUUUACUUAUAGUUUUUAUUUCGAAAAUGGGACAAUUUGAAAAUCAAGGCCAUGAAUUCCUAUUUUAUGCUGUUUUGAUGGUUUUGGAUAUGAUAAUAUUUAUGCUGAUGAGCACCAAAUACAAAUAUAAAUGUAUAAUUAGUAAUACCCAAUGAACAGAAUAAACAACAAUCUCUAAAUGUACUUCAUUUAACAUAAUGAGACGUAAUUUUUCUAUUAAAUUUAUAGUUUUCAUGACAUUGACAUAUCAACAUAUUUUACUAAGUAUAUAUACAAGGUAUAUGUAAUGUAGAUUUAAAACAUGAAUAAAUCUGAUAAAUCUUAAAGACUAAUAUAAUUUUAGUUUACUAAUGGCAGUCGGCAAAUGAGGAUUAAAACAACUGUAUUAUUACAAGAACCUAUGUUUUUUUUUUUUAACAAAUUGGAAAACAAAUUUUUAUUUGUAUACCUACAUUAAUAGGUAAUUAUUAUAACUAAUACAUUUCAUGUUCAAUAUACAAUCUUAAUAUUUUCUAGGUUUCAUUAAUUUUUAUUUUAUAAAAAAUAAAACGAUUUAUAAAGUCAACAUACCAGUA